AUCCCGGAAGUGCCCCAAAUGGAGUUGUUAUCCUGACUCAGGCCAGCUUUGUGUGGCUCGGCUGCUGGAGAACGCUACUUGCUAUCCCCCAGGGCCGUCGAGGGUGAGCUUCGGAGUCAGAAGAGGGGGCAACGACUCGGAGGGAGAGACCGGCCUCUUAGCCAUACCCUGCGGAGUACGAAGAAAUGCCCCGGCCUCCGCCAUCAACGGCGGCCGCUGCCCGCAGUGUUCCCGUGCGACUGGAAUAGGAUCCUAGGAGUUUAAUGACCUGCCCUGCUCAGAAACCGUAGUCCCAAAUGUUUGGAGCCGUAUUUGGCUGUCAGAUUUAAGGCAAAAAGAAAGCAGAUUAGGCAGACAUUCUUCGGUUCUGGCGAUAGAAAUGAGAGCAUGACGUGUUUCAGCCACGCGCUUUGCCUCUGAGCAUCCAUUCCACUUGAUUUUUUUCUUUAAAAAAAAAAAAAUUGCACCGUUGAGACCGAGUUUUGCAAAAAUGACCGAUGCUAUUCUGUAGCCCGAGGAUCUUGCCAGCCAGCCUCCUGUCUCGGUCUGGAAUAACUGGGAUCACAGGCCGGUGCCAUCAGACCACCAGCCUUCCUUAUUAGGCGUUCUCUGGAUCGGUUGAGCUAGCACCAGUCUUGAACUUGUCAGAGACCAUCUCUCACUAAUUAAAGGAAGAGCUUUG
rnacentral:lncRNA from 1 species